rnacentral:rRNA from 1 species
UCUGUAGCGACUGCGGAGGACAUUA